GCAAGUCGAGGGGUAACAUUGGAGCUUGCUCCAGAUGACGACCGGCGCACGGGUGCGUAACGCGUAUACAAUCUACCUUUUGCUGAGGGAUAGCCCAGAGAAAUUUGGAUUAACACCUCAUAGUAUGUAGACUUCUCAUGAAGAUUACAUUAAAGGUUACGGCAAAAGAUGAGUAUGCGUCCUAUUAGUUAGUUGGUGUGGUAACGGCACACCAAGACUACGAUAGGUAGGGGCCCUGAGAGGGGGAUC
rnacentral:rRNA from 1 species